rnacentral:rRNA from 1 species
GUGCCAGCAGCGGCGGUAAUACGUAGGUGGCAAGCGUUAUCCGGAUUUAUUGGGCGUAAAGAGAGUGCAGGCGGUUUUCUAAGUCUGAUGUGAAAGCCUUCGGCUUAACCGGAGAAGUGCAUCGGAAACUGGAUAACUUGAGUGCAGAAGAGGGUAGUGGAACUCCAUGUGUAGCGGUGGAAUGCGUAGAUAUAUGGAGAACACCAGUGGCGAAGGCGGCUACCUGGUCUGCAACUGACGCUGAGACUCGAAAGCAUGGGUAGCGAACAGGAUUAGAUACCCUGGUAGUCCAUGCCGUAAACGAUGAGUGCUAGGUGUUGGAGGGUUUCCGCCCUUCAGUGCCGGAGCUAACGCAUUAAGCACUCCGCCUGGGGAGUACGACCGCAAGGUUGAAACUCAAAGGAAUUGACGGGGCCGCACAAGCGGUGGAGCAUGUGGUUUAAUUCGAAGCUACGCGUAAGAACCUUACCAGGUCUUGACAUCUUGCGCCAACCCUAGACGAUAGGGACGUUUCCUUCGGGAACGCUAACG